CAAUUUACUGUUGGAUGCUUUUUACUGUAGCGUGAUACUGUAGCAGGCUGAUCUGUGCCGUUCGAUAGAGAUCCAAUGGCUCAAAAUAUGAGCCAAUGCAACUUACUGCAGACCCUCUGCAUUUUACUCUUCAAUGCAGAGGAUCUCAAUCCCACUUCGACCACUCAAUCCCCGCUUCACUGUUUGAAAUCGGGAGUCGCGUCUGAGAGAGAGAAGCAGAGGCUGCGGUUUCUCCCCCAAAUCCCUCGACGGCGACGGUGUCGGCGACCGCUGGCUUCUGCGGUGGCGACGGCGACUCAUCCACCGAGCGGAGAGGGGCAACGGUGAGCACAAGGUCUUCCUCGUUGUUGUCACCAGGCUUGAGGUGAGAUCUAGCGGGGGCGACGACAAUGGCGAGCGCUAGGCUGAGUAGUGAAGCGCAUCGUGCAAACCAGGAUACACGGAACGAAGAACUUGGCACAUAAAGGGACGAUGGGCACCUAUGGCAGAGGUGGAACAAGCAAAACAAUAGGGAAUGAGGAACCGCAGUUCAUAAGGAAAACCAGGGACAAGAAGCAAAUGCCACAACAUGAGAAGAAAAGAUAUUUUGGAGAAGAUACCAUCUACAAAAUGUACAACAACCCACUCCAAGAAAGGUCUAGAAAGAAGGUGCUCGAUUCGAUGAGGGAUGAGAUCAAUGAAUUUCUAGUAUCAAGAAGUAAUCUGGUAGUCGCAUCCAUCAAGAUUAUAUGGAAAGAGAUUAUGUGGGAAGUCUUUGAGAAUCAGUAUCAUCCGGUGCCCUAUUAUCUCUACUAAUGGACCAAAGCAACCAAACAUAUACACGACAGACACUUGCUGCUACAUAUUUUUUAAAAAACAAAUUAUGUGGAAUUAACUUUCUGGAACUAAGUUUAAUGUUUUUGGGGAAGUGACUUUCGUGUUGAAGGAAGUAACUUUCUUGCUUGUAUAAAGUAACUUUUACUUCUAGAGAAUGUAUAUGCAGCUGAUGCAACUUUUUGUUAAGAAUCCAUCAAAAUGCAUACCACAUCAGUAUGCAACUAGAUAUACAUUUUAUGUUUUUGUCAAGCUAAGAAAUAAACUGCAUAGAAGUACGCAAAAUCUAAAUCAAGAGGCAUCUCAUUUUAGUGCUAAUGAGUGACGCCAGAUGUUGUCCGAAUAUGUGUUAAUCUAUAGUACUUGUCUGUCAGAUAUAGUACUUUUCAUGGGUUAGCUUUGGAAAGGCCUUAUCAUGAACUUCCGUUACCGACGGGUAAACGAUGUCAGCUUCGUGUCGUGUGGGUAAAGCAUGCAAUCUCUGUAGAGAUUAAUGAACUAUUCGAACAGCCGUGCCCAUGGUCAAGGGCGAGUGUAAGGUGUUUCUCAUAGCGUAGAUUUAUUUGACAAAGGUUUGUGGAAAAGUGGUUAUUGGGAAGGGUAACGUUUCCAGAGUCAGCCUGUGUGGCAGACGGCUAACCUUUGUGGUUAGGAACGGGUUUGUGUGACCUGGGGUGUCAACCGACACCGAGGUGUUGUUAGGGCCGAGAGGAUUUUGAUGUGCUGAGAUAACUGUGUGAACUAUGUGUUGUUGUGAAAGUGAAAAGAAACUAAUAGAGGAAACAAAUUAAUUAUUGUUUGUUAAUCUUGUGACAAGUUGUUGCAAAGCAACUUGUGAAAUGGGUCGAGGCAUGAGCCUCCUCCCGACAACUAAAACUUGACUCACUAGGAGUUUUUGUGAAAUAAAUCACUUUGCCAAAAAAAGGCAGCUUUCGCAAAUAAAACCCUAGCCUCCUUGUUUAAACCGAACAUGUCAUUCUUUUCCCUGGCUUGCUGAGUACGUUAAGUACUCACCCUUGCCCCUUAUAAUAAUCUAUAGAGUAUGAAGAUGAAGACGUCGACCCGACCGCUGAGGAGGGUCUCCAGGAGCAAGCCGAGUAUGAAGACUUCUAGAUGUUUCGUGCCUAGCCCCAAGCCUCGUCUGUGGAAUAAGUUAGUUGCCUAGGUUCUUUGCCUAGUGCGUAGUCGCUUAGUCUUUCACGCUGUUUGCUUCUGCACUGUCUCUUUUAUGUUUUUGCUAUGCUGUUGUGUUGCUCAUCUAUGGGCCUGUCUAUGAUGGCAGCGUUUGUAAGGACUACUACCCAGUGAUGUAAUAAAACAGUUUACUUGGAUUCUACAUUUAUUCUGUGUGUA